rnacentral:rRNA from 1 species
GACGUAGGAUGCAAGUGUUAUCCGGAAUCACUGGGCGUAAAGCGUCUGUAGGUGGUUCAAUAAGUCAACUGUUAAAUCUUGAGGUUCAACUUCAAAAUCGCAGUCGAAACUAUUGGACUCGAGUAUAGUAGGGGUAAAGGGAAUUUCCAGUGGAGCGGUGAAAUGCGUAGAGAUUGGAAAGAACACCAAUGGCGAAAGCACUUUACUGGGCUAUUACUGACACUGAGAGACGAAAGCUAGGGUAGCAAAUGGG